rnacentral:rRNA from 1 species
AUUGAACGCUGGCGGCAUGCCUUACACAUGCAAAUCGAACGGUAACGGGCCUUCGGGUGCCGACGAGUGGCGCACGGGUGAGUAAUACAUCGGAACGUGCCCGAUCGUGGGGGAUAACGAGGCGAAAGCUUUGCUAAUACCGCAUACGAUCUACGGAUGAAAGCAGGGGACCGCAAGGCCUUGCGCGGACGGAGCGGCCGAUGGCAGAUUAGGUAGUUGGUGGGAUAAAAGCUUACCAAGCCGACGAUCUGUAGCUGGUCUGAGAGGAUGAUCAGCCACACUGGGACUGAGACACGGCCCAGACUCCUACGGGAGGCAGCAGUGGGGAAUUUUGGACAAUGGGCGCAAGCCUGAUCCAGCCAUGCCGCGUGCAGGAUGAAGGCCUUCGGGUUGUAAACUGAUUUUGUACGGAACGAAAAGCCUUCUUUUAAUACAGGGGGGUCAUGACGGUACCGGAAGAAUAAGCACCGGCUAACUACGUG